rnacentral:rRNA from 1 species
CCUACGGGAGGCAGCAGUGAGGAAUAUUGGUCAAUGGGCGCAAGCCUGAACCAGCCAAGUCGCGUGAGGGAUGACGGUCCUAUGGAUUGUAAACCUCUUUUGUCGGGGAGCAAGGCCCGCCACGUGUAGCGGGUAGGAGAGUACCCGAAGAAAAAGCAUCGGCUAACUCCGUGCCAGCAGCCGCGGUAAUACGGAGGAUGCGAGCGUUAUCCGGAUUUUUUGGGUUUAAAGGGUGCGUAGGCGGAAGGUAAGGUCAGCGGUAAAAUUUCGGGGUUAAACCCCGGCCUGCCGUUGAAACUGGUGUUCUUGAGUGAGCGAGAAGUAUGUGGAAUGCGGCGUGUAGCGGUGAAAUGCAUAGAUAUCACGCAGAACUCCGAUUGCGAAGGCAGCAUACCGGCGCUCAACUGACGCUGAGGCACGAAAGCGUGGGGAUCGAACAGGAUUAGAUACCCCAGUAGUC